UGUCUUGACCAGGAUUCGAACCUGGGUUAUUUCGGCCACAAAGCAAUGUCCUAACCACUAGACAAUAACGCC
rnacentral:tRNA from 1 species